CUUGAGCCCACGGGGUUGAGGCUGCAGUGAGCAGAUUGCCCCACUGCACUCCAGCCUGGGUGACAGCGCAAGACUCUGUCUCAAAAAAUAAAAUUAUAUAUAUAGAGAGAGGGAGAGAGAGAGAGAGAAAGAGAGCACCAAAAGGACUGGGAAACACCGGCAGAUGCACAGACAAUGCAUCCCUGAUUUUACCAAUAGACUUGACUCCCAACAAUGCAUACUCUUGAAGGCAAUCCACAGGUUGAAUAAACCAAGUCCAUGAGCGCUGGGUCUGGAAUCUUUCUACAAUCAGGGUCAGAAGGAGGGUGACUGAAAUUAAAAUAUUAGCUUGGAUCUUUGAAAUCAGAGUCAGGCUGAAAAAGUCCCAAUCUUAGUUCAAAACCUGUCCUGCAUGACUGAAGCCCUCCUAGGGCUGCACAAAGUAUAAUGGAAUUAUUAUUAUUAUUAUCAUUAGAUCCUAGUCUUACCAUUCUCAGCACUUAUCCCCAUAGCAAAAGACCAUUUUUUAAUGUAAUUUAUUCUUUUGGAAUAGGUUGAAUGCAUUCACAUGGUUCCAAAUUCAAAUAAACAGCAAGAAGUCUCCCUCCCACCCUGUCUGCCACCCACUUGGUUUUCCUUCUCUGGAGGCAACCUGGGUUAGUGGUCAGAAGAUGCAUUUAACUGUUUUCCAGCUGAGGCCUUGUGAGAACUCCUCGGACACCAAUUUAAAUCUUUAUGUCCAGAACUCCUUUCUCCAAUCCAGGUAGAGCCACUCCCCUAUCCUAUCCCCACUCCCACCCUUCCCCCCUUCAGCCUCAAUCCUAAGCAGGCUCUAUUAACAAUGAUGAGCCACCAUUUCCUCGAGCUACUAACAAAUGCAAAUGUUUAAAUACUUUGUGGUUCUUUUUCCUCUUCUACAUUAAUUGCUAACAUUUAUCGAGGGCUUUCCGUGUGCCACGCACUGUGCUAAAUACUAGGCAUGCAUAUUCUUAUUUAAUCUGCCCCAAAUCUUCAUCAUUAUCCUUAUUUACAGAUGCAGACAGAAAUGAAAGUUCAGAGAGAUUAUGUAAUUUGCACCAAUUUGCAUCCAGGCCAACCUGAAUCCAAACCCUAUCUCUUUUUACUUUUUCUUUCCUUUUUUUUUUUUUUUUUAAACAGGGUCUCACUCUUGUCAGCCCAGAUGGCAUGCAGUGGCACAGUCUAUGGAGGCAAUCAGGGUUAGCUGUCAGCUCACUGUGGCCUCAACCUCCCAGGCGAGAUGAGGUUCCACCAUUCUUGCCCAGACUGGUUUCGAACUCCUGGACUCAAGCGAUUUGCCUGCCUCGGCCUCAAAAAGUGCUGGGAUUACAUGCAUGAGCCACCACACCCGGACCCUCUCUCUUAAAUAGUGGCCCUUUUGCCUCUCUGCAACACAGGAAAAAUUCUGUUAGCCUGCAUCAGAAGGAGUGGCAUGGAGGCUUUGGAGUUAAGAAGAUUUAAUUCAAAUUAUGUGUCCGGUGCCUGCCAGCAAUGAGACCUUGGUAAGGUUUCUUAACCUCUCUGAGCUGGGACCAUACCUUCUGCGUUGGUUUAAUAUAAAGGUUAAAUGCAUGUAAAUAAAUGACUUCUAAAAUAAAUAA
rnacentral:lncRNA from 1 species